UAGCGGCGCCUGUCCGGCGUUAGUGUCUUGGCCUGAAGGCAGCAGUCAGCUCCUCACGGCAGGUUGCCUGAGGAGGGCAGCACGUUUUCCAUUGUGCUGAUGUCAUGUUUGGCGUUCCUUCCAGUUUUCGCAGUUUCUUAAUAAAACGGGAAGCAGGGGGAGAGCACGGGGAUGUAGCAGCUUGAAUUUCUUCGUGUCAGUCAGCCUUCAGGUUCUUUUUUAGAUCUUUGCACUCUUUCCUGUUCAGCAUCAGAACAAGAAUAAUACUAUUCAGGAUGAAUACACAAGGAAAUUCUGCAAAUGUAAUAAGAGGCUAUUUCCCUCCUCCUCUUUCCAUGAAAUGGACAACUCAAAAAGAAAAAACUUUUAUUUUUGCAGAUUUGUUGUAAUACAACAAUAUGUUCAGUUGAGAUUUGGAGAGGAAUGUGAAACACAGUGAGGGAGAAGGCCUCCCCCUACACUCCUGAAAUAAAUGGAUUUUCAAAUUGGGCUUCCUUAUGUAGACAGGCAAUUUCAUUGACCAGGCGGAGUGUAAUUACUCUAAAUGAAAUGGCUAGUUGUUCUUAGGUAUCUAAGGAAGGAGGGCUGAUAAGUCAGUGAAACCCACCUUGUCUCUGUAUAAGAUUUUUCUUUUUUCCAGAGAGUUUCAGACUACUUAGUCUAUACAUCAUAUGUAUGCAGAAGCCAUGCAACCGACCAAACAUGAAAAUCUGUGGUAAGGUCUUAAACAUCAUCUGAGUUACAGGCUUACUGACUUAACAUUGCUAUUAAAGUUCAGCUACUCUUAGCCAUUCACAACGCACCUGUUGUGCAUAAUAAGUACCUGCAAGUGGCAAGGCAAACCAGUAAACCAUUUCCUGUUAGCAUGCAACUUGCAAUGCCUGGGCUAGAAAUCUCAAGUAGACUGUGUAAAGAUCAGUUUCAGUGAAUGGCUCAGCAAAGUCAUCUUGAAAACUCUUCUGUAAUUUCUGACCCAUAUCCCUCUUCUGUUAUCUUGCCACAAUGUUCAAGUUCUUCUUUGCUUUCAGUGUUAUAACCCCAAGUGUAUUCUAUGCUACUUUCCACACCACCAUUUCUUACAGCCUCUAAUUAAAGAUCCCUCUGAAUAAAGCCUUCUGCUUGAACAGUUAGGAGUGCCCCUCUGAAAGGCCUCUUUUGUGAGUGACCAUCUUGUGGAACACAACAAAGACAAGGCACUACAGAAAAAGACACUGUUUUACUUUGUAGCCACUUCACUUGUCUCUGUUUCAAAUUAAUUAGCACUACUCUGUUUUCAAGUGUAAUAACACUGCAGUGAGGUGAAUGGAGUUUUCAGAGAGUAAAACUGCAGCACACCCUCACACCAUCCUUGAGCAACAAAGGAGACUACAGGAAGUGGUCAUUAGAGGUAGUAGGUGAUCAGGGGUGAGGUGGAACUCAGGUGAAUGGGACUGCAAUUCACACACACAACCCCCUCCUCCUGAAGUACUAGCAUUUAUAUUAUACAUUAUUAAGAAAAAGGUUCAGAGAGAUCCUCGCAUUGGUAAAUUAUAAAUUGAAUAUCAUUUACAGUUAAUUUCCCUGAAAAACCCGGACAUUCUAAUCCAUGGGGUUUUUGCUUGAUAAUCAUUUCCUGAUGACUGUUUCUUGUUCUGCCUAUGCUUAAAAUUUCCCCUGUAUCCUUGAGCACCUUAGCAUACAAACAUCUGCGUCACUGGAGAAGAGGCAACAUCUACCUGAGUGCAUAUGCUGGAGUGCAUUAGAGCUGCUGAGUUUUCUUCAUUAAUUUAUUGCUCUUGAAAGCAGUGCUACAGCAAUGUGCAGGCAGAGACUAUAUUGAAAGACUGCUGAAAUCCAAGGCCUACAUCUACAGGGUUGUACGGGUCAAUACCUUAUGCUUGUAGCAUGAGCGUCAUAGAAACAAGUUGCCCUGGAGAUACCCCAGCUUCUCUAACAAGCGUUCACCCGUGGAGCAGCUCUUUUGGAACCCUCCUGAGAACAAUUCUCUUCUUUCUGUUGCCAUCAUUCUUCAUGUCUUGCUCACAGAAGAUAAUGUGGGUAUAGCACAGUUAAAGCUGUGAUGACAUCCCAUGCAUUCCACCUUUUCUCCUCCUAUUACACUGGUGCUGCUAUAGUGCACCACUAUAAAGGGAUUUAGAUUUCAGAUUGUCUUUUGGUCCCAGAAGAAUGACAUCUAUGUAAGCCUUGUUUGCCAACAAAAAUGAGGAAGUAUGUGCUCCAGAGCUGUAUAAGUAAGGUCAAUGCUAACCACAGUUUCCUAUACUCAACAACCACAGAGCCCUGUAUGCAACUCAGGUCCCAACAGCUUUCUGAAAUGGUCCAAAGGUGAGCAAUGCCUGACAAUCUAAUCUGCUAUAAAUGUAUACUAAAUAUAGUGAAAAUGUGGUAAUAUUCUGCACCUCCCAACUUGGCAGGUACUUCUAAACUGAGUUUUUAACAGAAUGGCAUCCUUGUUUCAACAACAUAUUGGAGGAAAAAACCCUUUAGGGUUCUAUAUAAAAGCUAAUUUGUCUUCUGUCAAAUUGAGUCUCUGGCUCUUCUCCGUUCAUGUUUCAGUAUUGGGUCUGGUUUGUUUGUGUUUUCUACAAAUUAGUCAUACAAAGAAAUUGCUUUGUUUGAAUCAGUCUCUUGCCAUAGGUGUGCCACCUUUCUUCACUAAAUUUGUAUUUUAACUAUCAAUAUUAUUGGUGCUCCCAGGGGUUUUUUGUUCAUGGAGCUCAGGGUAUCUCACAGCAGCAGAUACCUCUUUUGGAAGAGCUGUGUCAGAAAAAAGGUGUGGAACAAGAUCAUUUUAAUAUCUUACAAAAAGCUUGCAGAUACUUCAAAAUACACAAUCAAUAUAGUAAAAAAAAUAGAAUUACACCUGGAGUAGAGCUAAAAUAAUAUAAACAUGAGUACACAUUAACAUAAUUUCUGAGCAAAGAAAUAGCAAAUGUUUUUUUCCAUAGUGCAGGCAUUAGGAGAACAGGGUGAGAUAAAGCCUAAAGUCAUGAAAUGAAGAUACCUCAAAGGGCAAACAGGGGAGCAGAUCUCCAGUACAAGCUAAUCCCUAGCUUGUCUAGCUAGUAGAUCACAAUGCUCAUUUAAACCCUAAAGAGGGAUAGAAACCCAGAACUGGUCACUCUUCCUUGUGUCAGCAGCUUGUGUCCAGCAGACAGAGUGGUGAUCCCAGGGCUUUGGUAGGCAUUGCUUGCACAGAGCCGCGCAAUGUUAGUCUGGCAUUCUGAUAAAAGGCUUUACUUCUUCCUGAAGAGGCAUGAUUAAAACUGUUCCUUCAUUUAGUGUUGCUGCAAAGCUUUAACCUUUCUCACAGAGAAAAUGUAGAAAAUUGGCUCCCUAAGAGCCUAUUCACCAUUCCAAGCUGCUGCAGUUCCUAAAGAGAAAUGUUGCUGCCAGGGUGUCUUGUAAUGGCCAUCAAAACCUACUUCAGUAGCUUUAACCAGAAGUAAUUAUUUUCAUUAAUUUUUUAUCUGUAUAGAAUAGAAAAUGGUGCAGGCCAAAUUCUGACCUCAGUUACAUCUUCUUAGAUCUUGAGGAACACUUCAGUAUCUGUAAAAGAAAUGUAAACUCUAAGUGGUCUAUGGCCUGAACAUCAAGAACAUAAACAAGAAAUUUGCUGUCACUUCACAGCAAGUCAAUAAAGCUAACACAACUGUACUUUAUUUCUUUUAAGAGCAAUGUUAGUGGCCACAAACAUUUAUUUUUUAUAUUUACAAAUAUUUCUGUAGAAAUGAAUAUAAAUACAAAUGAACAAAAUACAAGCAAGGAAAAGGGAGGGUUUAUCAAAUGUGAUUUCUCCUUUUGUGAUACUUUUUUAUUGAACCCUAUUCAAAAAAAAUGUUCUUUGUUGCCAUAGCAAUAGAUUCCCAGGGUGAAAUUAUAUCAUACUGCCUUUCUUCUAGGUUUCUGCUAUGUGCUAUCACCACCCACUCUCCUUCAUUACAGUCAAUAAUCAGCAAAACCUCCCCACCCCCAGCCUUUAUUCAUCUGCAUGUUUUGGGGUGGAGGAUGCAAUAGUUGUUGUUUUGACAGGUGUAGAGAAGACAAGUGAAUUCUCAGUGUGCUGAGGAAGCACAGGAUGUGCUGCCUGAAAUGUUUCCAGUCCGGUCCCCUUUGACAAUGCCUGUCAGCAGCCGUCCAUCCGCAGUCUCGUAUCUCUUCUGCAUAUGCACUAACUGCUGGUGUCAGCUCUACAGCACUGCUUUCUGUCACUGGGAGAGAUGGGAGCAAGCACCUGCACUAACCCUGCAUUACCAAAACAAUAUCGAAUUUGAAGUACAACCCUGAUUUUCUUAGAUCUCCAGAUCUGCUUUGGUGAAUCUCGGCUUCAGAUUCCUGCAAGAAGUUCCCAUACUAAUAGGGAGCUGGGACAAUCACUAAUAAAUAAUAAAAUAUAUAUUGGUUUUUGCAAUACA